UGUAGCCAUGUCGGGUGGUGAUUGAUAAAAAAAACAAAAAAGCUAGUUUCAGUCGAUUGUUUCUUCGAACCCUAACUGGGUUUGGGAACAGACCCUGUAAUUUAGCAGAUUUAUAUUGGUUUUCUAAGCACAAUGUUGUGUUGAGGUAUGACAAACAGUUCAUCGACAAAAAAGGAAGACGGUUCAGAUCAGUCUGAGAUUAGUGGAUUCGCACCAAAAAUACACCGAACCAAGAUGGGCGAACCUGAAGUCAGUGAAAAGAAGAUUUUGAAUAAGAAACUCAAAGAUGUGGAGAUUAGUGUUCCCAUAGUGUAUGGGAACAUUGCCUUUUGGCUUGGAAAGAAGGCAAAUGAGUAUCAGUCUCAUAAAUGGACUGUGUAUGUCCGUGGUGCAACAAAUGAGGAUCUGGGGGUGGUUAUAAAGCGUGUUGUUUUUCAGCUGCAUUCGAGUUUCAACAACCCCACAAGAGUGGUGGAGUCACCGCCAUUUGAGUUGUCAGAAUCAGGUUGGGGUGAAUUUGAGAUUGCUAUCACACUGUUUUUCCACAAUGAUGUUUGCGAUAAGCCAUUGAACUUAUUUCAUCAUUUGAAGUUAUACCCCGAGGAUGAAUCUGGUCCUAUGUCUAUGAAGAAGCCCGUUGUUGUGGAAUCCUAUGAUGAGAUUGUAUUCCCUGAGCCUUCAGAGGGUUUCUUAGCUCGCAUGCAAAAUCAUCCAGCGGUAAACUUGCCUAGAUUGCCUGCUGGAUUUAUUUUGCCUCCUCCUGUGCCAGUUGAGGAUGCAACAAAAAAGAAAAGAGGUGACACUAAAGAUAAUCCCCUAAGCCAGUGGUUCAUGAAUUUCUCAGAAGCAGAUGAGCUUCUACAACUUGCUGCUGCUCGUCAACAGGUACAAGCUCACAUUGCUAAGCUCAAACGACAGAUAAGUCUGAUAGAUGGGCAGCAGCAACAGUUGAAAUCUACCUCUGACCAGUGAAUGUGUAUUAUCACUAAAGUUUUUGAAAACCUUCAAAGUGGUUUUCCAGCAGAAUCAUUUGAUAGCAUAAAAAUAUUUGAUGCCUCAUAUUUGAAGUGCCCUUCACGAUUUUUUUUGAAGUUCUUGCUAAUAAUGCUGAGGGCCCGUCUCAGGUACUUUGUCAGUACUCCUUGUCAUGCUUUCGGGACUAUAGAUAGUAAACUGAAUGGGGUCAUCCACCCUGGCUUUCAAAUGGGUUCCUACAUGUGGCUGUCAUGGUCAUUUCAAUAUAAUUAUAUUUUCACUUGCUAUUAUGGUUCAAGGCUUCAAGCACAUACCAGGUACAUACAAUCCUAUCCUUAAUUCUCAAGAAUCUUCCUAAAUUUGUUGAAGUAGGUGUAGGUCCAGCUGAAUAAUGUUCUCGUCUUAGCUGUUGCAUGUAAAAACUGUCUCUGUCUAUUACUUUUGUUGUCAAGGUACUAAUCUAAUUAUUAAGUGUUUGGUCAACUGUCUUUUUAGUCUGCUACUAUCCUUGCCUGCUUGAUCAUCUCAACUGUAUAUUUUAAGCAUAUAUUCUCUGGGCCCUUCUCUUACACAGUGUCCCUUGAAACAUAUCAUGUGAGCACGAUUAGUUUCUUCGCUUUUAAAGGUUAGCACAUCACCAUCAGUAAUCUAAUCAAAGACUAAGAUGACACCAUCUUCUAGCAUCUUUUUGCUAAUUAUGAUUUGCAUUGAGACUUAAAAGGUAAUUAUCAUUUGGUAACAGCUUUCUUAUCUAGCCGCCGUCAUUGCUAUACUCAGUAAACAGUUCAUUCUGAUUAUUUCACCUGGUACAUAUACUUGUAGAGAUAUAUAUGCCUAAUGUUAAAGGAUAUCUAUUAGGCAGUUGCAGACUUGGAGUUUGAGGUGGUUGAGUAGAAUAGGGAGUAAGUACGUACUUGGUGAGAUGAUCUGAUAGGAUUUACCAAGUUGUCUUUACUGAGGAAUUUGGGGGGCAAGAGUAACAUGGCCUUCAUGUGCCCAAAAAAGCUAAGGUUGCUGUCAACUAAAUUGAAAAUGGCCCUAACUUUUCUUGGCUCCCGCAGAGCAAUAUAUUGGUGAUGAAUUGUUGUGGGCCUUUCUGGUCCUAUUUUCUUCUUGCUUCCGCGAAUUAAUCUCAUUCACAGAACAUGGAGAGGUUCUCUCAAAGAUGACAGCGUCCUAAGCUUAGCCAUAAACUAGGAUUUUACUGUUGCUGUUAAAAAUUGCAGAUAAAUUACCCCCGUCCCCAGCUGUCUUUGUCAUUGAGUAGCUGAUGGAUUCAGUUGGUUUAUGCUUUUGUGGGGGGUUAUGUGUAAAUGCCUGGACCUGUUGGGGGUUGAAUAAAACAAAAGGAGAAGACAAAGAGUCCGGACAUGGCCGUAUGGCCCGUAUCAGUCAUUUGAAUCUAGCAUUUUUGCAGAUUACUUUCUGAGCCUUGGAACAUGGAGAGAGAUAACUUUUGUUGUGAAUGGAGCCAGGAGAGAUAAGAAAGAUAUCAGUGGUGUACAUUUGAAGUUGGUUCAACUUGGUGAUGGUGGCUUUUGCUAGACCACAUGAGAAAUUCUCUUUUUCUUGAGACGCUUUUUUAACUUGCAAACAUGGCAUGUACAGUUGAAAUGUAGUAAAAGCAUUGCUUGGAACU